ensembl:lncRNA
UCCCUGCUCCUCUGGCUGCUGUUGUCCCUGUGGUUGGCGUACUUGUCAGAUCACGACAAAUUUUGCACUACAGGCCAGUUGACAGCGUGCAAUAACCCGGCCGAUUCAUUCAUCUUUACACUACCUCACACUCGACUCAACGGUCAGGUUUUUUUUGUUCUCCCGCGAUCAGCCCUGAUCAGCGCGAGAUGGCGAGCCACCCGACCACCGCUACGUUGCGGUCAGGUUUUUUUUGUUCUCCCGCGAUCAGCCCUGAUCAGCGCGAGAUGGCGAGCCACCCGACCACCGCUACGUUGCGGUAGGAAUUGUGAACCUAUGGACUGAAUCACAAAUUGUUAACACAUGACCUAUCACAGGUCCAUGGAACUAAACUAAAUCACAUACUGGACUACACCUCAUCCCACCUCCUUUUGGAACCUACUAAGCUGUUUUGUAUUGUCAAC